UACGUAGGGCGCAAGCGUUGUCCGGAGUUACUGGGCGUAAAGGGUGCGCAGGUGGCGGCGCGCGUGGGGGGUGAAAUCGCCCGGCUUAACUGGGCGGGGGCCUUCCAGACGGCGUGGCUUGAGCAGCGGAGGGGGACGUGGAAUUCCGGGUGGAGCGGUGAAAUGCGUAGAGAUCCGGAGGAACACCCGUGGCUAAGGCGGCUCUCUAGUACGGUACUGACGCUGAGACGCGAAAGCGUGGGGAGCGAACAGG
rnacentral:rRNA from 1 species